rnacentral:rRNA from 1 species
GAUGAACGCUAGCGAUAGGCCUAACACAUGCAAGUCGAGGGGCAUCACAUGAAGUAGCAAUACGGAUGGUGGCGACCGGCGCACGGGUGAGUAACACGUAUGCAACCUGCCUUCAACAAGGGGAUAACCCGUUGAAAGACGGACUAAUACCCUAUAACACAGGGGUCCCGCAUGGGAAUAUUUGUUAAAGGACAACCGGUUGAAGAUGGGCAUGCGUUCCAUUAGAUAGUUGGAGAGGUAACGGCUCCCCAAGUCAACGAUCAUUAGGGGUUCUGAGAGGAAGGUCCCCCACACUGGUACUGAGACACGGACCAGACUCCUACGGGAGGCAGCAGUGAGGAAUAUUGGUCAAUGGGCGAGAGCCUGAACCAGCCAAGUCGCGUGCAGGAAGAAUGUCCUAUGGAUUGUAAACUGCUUUUGCAGGGGAAUAAAGUGAGCCACGUGUGGUUUUUGUAUGUACUCUGCGAAUAAGGAUCGGCUAACU